UACGUAGGGUGCGAGCGUUGUCCGGAAUUAUUGGGCGUAAAGAGCUCGUAGGCGGCCUGUUACGUCUGCUGUGAAAGCCCGGGGCUCAACUCCGGGUCUGCAGUGGAUACGGGCAGGCUAGAGUCCGGCAGGGGAGACUGGAAUUCCUGGUGUAGCGGUGAAAUGCGCAGAUAUCAGGAGGAACACCGGUGGCGAAGGCGGGUCUCUGGGCCGGUAUUGACGCUGAGGCACGAAAGCGUGGGGAUCAAACAGG
rnacentral:rRNA from 1 species